AUUGAACGCUGGCGGCAGGCUUAACACAUGCAAGUCGAGCGGAGAGAGGUAGCUUGCUACUGAUCUUAGCGGCGGACGGGUGAGUAAUGCUUAGGAAUCUGCCUAUUAGUGGGGGACAACAUUUCGAAAGGAAUGCUAAUACCGCAUACGUCCUACGGGAGAAAGCAGGGGAUCUUCGGACCUUGCGCUAAUAGAUGAGCCUAAGUCGGAUUAGCUAGUUGGUGGGGUAAAGGCCUACCAAGGCGACGAUCUGUAGCGGGUCUGAGAGGAUGAUCCGCCACACUGGGACUGAGACACGGCCCAGACUCCUACGGGAGGCAGCAGUGGGGAAUAUUGGACAAUGGGCGCAAGCCUGAUCCAGCCAUGCCGCGUGUGUGAAGAAGGCCUUAUGGUUGUAAAGCACUUUAAGCGAGGAGGAGGCUACUCUAGUUAAUACCUAGAGAUAGUGGACGUUACUCGCAGAAUAAGCACCGGCUAACUUCGUGCCAGCAGCCGCGGUAAUAC
rnacentral:rRNA from 1 species